GANGAACGCUGGCGGCGUGCCUAAUACAUGCAAGUCGUAGCGGGCGUGAUCGCGAGAGCUUGCUCCCUGAUGUUAGCGGCGGACGGGUGAGUAACACGUGGGCAACCUGCCUGUAAGACUGGGAUAACUCCGGGAAACCGGGGCUAAUACCGGAUAACCCGUUCCACCUCAUGGUGGAGCGGUAAAAGAUGGCCUCUGGCUAUCACUUACAGAUGGGCCCGCGGCGCAUUAGCUAGUUGGUAAGGUAACGGCUUACCAAGGCGACGAUGCGUAGCCGACCUGAGAGGGUGAUCGGCCACACUGGGACUGAGACACGGCCCAGACUCCUACGGGAGGCAGCAGUAGGGAAUCUUCCGCAAUGGACGAAAGUCUGACGGAGCAACGCCGCGUGAGUGAUGAAGGUUUUCGGAUCGUAAAGCUCUGUUGUUAGGGAAGAACAAGUGCCGUUUGAAUAAGGCGGCACCUUGACGGUACCUAACCAGAAAGCCACGGCUAACUACGUGCCAGCAGCCGCGGUAAUACGUAGGUGGCAAGCGUUGUCCGGAAUUAUUGGGCGUAAAGCGCGCGCAGGCGGUCUCUUAAGUCUGAUGUGAAAGCCCACGGCUCAACCGUGGAGGGUCAUUGGAAACUGGGAGACUUGAGUACAGAAGAGGAGAGUGGAAUUCCACGUGUAGCGGUGAAAUGCGUAGAUAUGUGGAGGAACACCAGUGGCGAAGGCGACUCUCUGGUCUGUAACUGACGCUGAGGCGCGAAAGCGUGGGGAGCAAACAGGAUUAGAUACCCUGGUAGUCCACGCCGUAAACGAUGAGUGCUAGGUGUUAGGGGUUUCGAUGCCCUUAGUGCCGAAGUUAACACAUUAAGCACUCCGCCUGGGGAGUACGACCGCAAGGUUGAAACUCAAAGAAUUGACGGGGGCCCCG
rnacentral:rRNA from 2 species